GCCUGGGUGGCUCAGUCGGUUAAGCGUCUGACUGCAGCUCAGGUCACGAUCUCACGGUCCGUGAGUUCCAACCCCACGUCAGGUC
rfam:Felis catus isolate Cinnamon breed Abyssinian chromosome B3, whole genome shotgun sequence.